AUGCAAUGGGCUGCACCUGUGCUCAGAGUAAACCUCACUUUUUUUCCCCUUCAAACCUCAGUUAUGAUGCUGUGGUUCACAUGGUUACAGACGACCACAGAGAGACGGCAGCUGUCCAUCCCUCGCCCUGCACCACCCUGCAAGGACGCAGUCGACGAACAGCCCAAUUCAAAUGUGGCAAAAAAAAAAAAAAAAAAAAAAACCCAUUCAAAAUUAAUUAAAGUAACAACAGUGAAAAGCUGAAACCGAGUAUAUUUGUGAUAAACUAAAGUAUUCUAUUUGUAGCCACUGUUAUUUUUGGUUUCUGUAGAAAUCAUUCUUUUGUGUUUGAGAAAAAAGUAAUGCGGCACGCUUUCAUAUUUACAUCAAAUCAGUCCCGAGGGCUGCUCUGUGCUGAAUAAUAUUAGGACGUUGCGUAACUUGUGUCAUCUCGUAAAGUUUCUUCAGUCCUUGUCUGCUCUCCUCUUCUGUAACACAGGUUACAAGUAACAUUAGUUCCCUCGAGUCCCUUGACAGUACCAAAGGUAUCCAUAAUAAGCAGGCAUGAUGACAAUGUGUGUGAAUCACUAAGGGUAAGCCUGAUACAUUUCAUCCUUUUAGUGUAUAUGACUCACUUUAAAAACUGCCAAUAAAAGUGUCUGCAUUGUCUCUCCAUGUAUCUGUGUGAGUGCUUAUUUGUGUGUGUGUGUCUUCCUCCCCGCCACUGAUUUAUAAUGGCAUAGUCCUAGCGCGGGCCUUUGGAGGCAGAUCUGGGGGAAUUGGUCUAAUUUGUGUGAACUGCUGUUGAUUUAUAGCCCAGCCAGAGGUUAAUGACAGUGUCGCUCAUUGCCGCUUGUUCUUUCCACUGUAAUGUCGUUAAAAGGAGGCAAUGCCAAGACCCCGCGGCUUUGUAUCCAUCGUUUCUUUCCUUCCCAGUGACCGUACUGUCCUCCCCUCUUUGCCACUCACCACUUUCACCUCAUCUCACCUCACCUCCAGUUCCAUCAUUCAUUCACUGGUGAUGUACCGGAUAGGUUAAUUAUCUUUAUAAAAAGGCUCUUUUGGAUGAAUGCCUUGACUGAGAGCUCUGUGUUGAUAUGGAAGCUACAGGAGCAUUAUUUAUUUAUUUUUUUUGGAUGAAAAAUUCAAACACCACAUUUAAAGCAACAAGGUGUACUCCAGUAUCAAAGCACGAAUGUAUAAUUUUAAUGUAAUAUUACUAAUUUUAUUGUGAUAUUACUGUAGGUAUUACAGUCAUGUGGGUCUAAGGGCAGAAAUAAACCCCUCAGAAUCAUAUUAACGCUGCAGCUACACAGGAUAUAAAAUAAUUUUUCUUUCUGUUUUUUUAGAGUUGAAUUUAAAAUACUCUGAUCCUCUGUUGUAUUAAAAGCAGCUACACAGAAUCAUAGAAAACGUCAUGGAUUAAGAAUCCAUCCAGUCUCCAUAAAAUAAAAGUGUGAAAAAAAAUAAUCUAAUUAUGCUUCUAACACAGUAUGCUUUAAAAAAAAUCAACAGGAAAAGACAUUUAUGUCACAGAGCAAACUCAGUGCUACCACGGUGACACCUUUUUCAAAAGUUUUGGUGCCAGUUUCAGAGCUUAAAUCUAAUUUUCACUGUUAUUAUUUUAUUUCUUUGUCUUUAUGUUUGUAGUUCUGCCAUAUUACUUACCAAAAUAAAAGUUUGUCCAUUCAGAUAAGUUAACAAUUACAGACUAUUGACUAGACCAGUGAUGAUUCAGAGGUGUCCAGGGGUGAAUAACAACAUAAACUUGUAUUCUGCAUUUAACCUCUAAUAAUAAUUUAGGUUACUUUCUAGGAAUCCAUUAACAGGCUGACUUUAAAUGGGCUGUCUCUGUUAAACCUGCUUUGAUUCUGUGUAGUAAUACAUGCACACUUACAUGGAAGAUCUAUAGUUUUAUGUCCAGUACGAAAAUUGCAAGUAUGUUGCUCUAGGUCUCUCAAAGUUGCAUUAAAGUAAAAUUAUAUACAUUUCAAACUGUAAAAAUGUCCGGCAGAAAAAGAUGCACAAAAUGUAACAAUAUACGAUAGUAAAUAUAUUUGUAAUAUACCAUUUUCAAACAAUUUUACACAGUGCUUCAUAGGAUAGCACCAAUUAAAGCUGUACUUCCUCUUAAAAUAAAUAGUGUUUGCAUGUGUUUUUCCUGCUUAGUAGUAUGCACUAGAAUAAGAGGGCAAUUAUUCAAGUUUUUACAGAAUAUAAGAAAUAAUUGUAGUGUACGUCAUUUUAUACGGUGUGUAAGCAAUUCUAAGUAAGUAAUUUUAAGUAUUAUGUAAGCAGUUUUAGGUUGUGUGAAAGUAAUUUUAAGUAGUGCAUAACUUAUAUUUCACAGGUAAGGACACACAAAUUAUGCUGGAAGUAGAUCUAAGUAGUGCAACAAAUGCUUUUUGAAGUUUUUCAUUGUUUUUCCUGUUUAGUAAUAAAUAUACUGGAAUGAUGGGGUAAUUCUGUCCUGUCAUCCUGUAAAAUACCAUGUAAAGUUACACAUUACUUAAUAUUAUUGACAGAAUAGUUAUUUUUUAUUUCCUGUAUAAUCUGUAAUUCCUUUAUUCUAGUGUAGAUAACUAUAAUUACAUUGCAAUUUAAAAUAAAAAAUAAAAACAAAAACAUGGAAAUUCCAUUUAAUUUUAGAGAAUUUACACCCUAGUUGUAGUCCAUGUGAUAGUGUUACCCUUUAUAGAACUGCUUUGAUUAAAGUGUAUGAGUUAAAGGACUUGGUUACCUUCCCUAAGUGUCAGUGAGCACACACGUACACACUUCAUGACUUUGACGACACUUUGUGGCUGCAGCCGCGACUCCAGACAGGGCUCAUCUGUGCGUAUCUCUAGAAGCAAGGAAUGCUGGUAGCGUCAGCCCAAGAGAGGCUGUGUCUGUCUGGGCAUGGAUGCUGCCCUGUCACCCACCCCACUGCUCUCGCCCCACGCCUCCCUCAGCCUGCCUGAGCAGCAGCAGCGGCAGCAGCAUGGCAUGAGAACCCCGAGACAGACUCUGC
rnacentral:lncRNA from 1 species